rnacentral:rRNA from 1 species
ACGUACGCUGGCGGCACGCCUAACACAUGCAAGUCGAACGAAGUAGCAAUACUUAGUGGCAGACGGGUGAGUAACAUGUAGGUAUCUGCCCUUUGGCCUGGAAUAACACGAGGAAACUUGUGCUAAUACCGGAUAAGUCUUUACGGAGAAAGCUUUAUGCACCAUUGGAUGAGCCUGCACUUGAUUAGUUUGUUGGUGGGGUAAUGGCCUACCAAGACUGUGAUCAAUAGCUGAUUUGAGAGGAUGAUCAGCCACAUUGGGACUGAGACACGGCCCAAACUCCUACGGGAGGCAGCAGUGGGGAAUCUUGCACAAUGGAGGAAACUCUGAUGCAGCGAUGCCGCGUGAGUGAAGAAGGCCCUUGGGUUGUAAAGCUCUUUCGUCGGGGAAGAAAAUGACUGUACCCGAAUAAGAAGGUCCGGCUAACUUCGUGCCAGCAGCCGCGGUAAUACGAAGGGACCUAGCGUAGUUCGGAAUUACUGGGCUUAAAGAGUUCGUAGGUGGUUGAAAAAGUUAGUGGUGAAAUCCCAGAGCUUAACUCUGGAACUGCCAUUAAAACUUUUCAGCUAGAGUAUGAUAGAGGAAAGCAGAAUUUCUAGUGUAGAGGUGAAAUUCGUAGAUAUUAGAAAGAAUACCAAUUGCGAAGGCAGCUUUCUGGAUCAUUACUGACACUGAGGAACGAAAGCAUGGGUAGCGAAGAGGAUUAGAUACCCUCGUAGUCCAUGCCGUAAACGAUGUGUGUUAGACGUUGGAAAUUUAUUUUCAGUGUCGCAGGGAAACCGAUAAACACACCGCCUGGGGAGUACGACCGCAAGGUUAAAACUCAAAUGAAUUGACGGGGACCCGCACAAGUAGUGGAGCAUGUGGUUUAAUUCGAAGAUACGCGCAGAACCUUACCAACACUUGACAUGUUCGUCGCAACUUUAAGAGAUUAAAGUUUUCGGUUCGGCCGGACGAAACACAGGUGCUGCAUGGCUGUCGUCAGCUCGUGUCGUGAGAUGUUGGGUUAAGUCCCGCAACGAGCGCAACCCUCACUUUUAGUUGCCAUCAUUAAGUUGGGCACUCUGAAAGAACUGCCAGUGAUAAGCUGGAGGAAGGUGGGGAUGACGUCAAGUCCUCAUGGCCCUUACGUGUUGGGCUACACACGUGCUACAAUGGUAUCUACAACAGGAAGCAAGACUGCGAAGUUAAGCAAAUCCCUAAAAGAUACCUCAGUUCGGAUUGCACUCUGCAACUCGAGUGCAUGAAGCUGGAAUUACUAGUAAUCGUGGAUCAGCGUGCCACGGUGAAUGCGUUCCCGGGUCUUGUACACACCGCCCGUCAA